GCUAACCAUGUGUAUGUGACAAAUAAAAUUUGAUUUGAUUUGAUUUGAUUAUUUUCAGGUUACUUCUGGUUUGGGUGUGGGUUACCGUGGUGAUGUGUGUCCAUGGAGGUACAGUUCAAAGGGCUGAGGCUCCUCCCCCUCAUUUGACUAGGCUUGCUGAAGACAUCCACUAGUUUCAUUGGAGAGAUCUUCAUUUGAUUGGAAAUUGCUUCCAGUGUACAAUAAACUAAAUGUUUGCUGACACUAUUGCAGGAACAAUGCAUUUCAGUUCAAAUAUAAAGCAGUUCGUUCUCCUUCUCAUUGUUGGAAUUGUUUUGCUUCUGGGGUAUGUUCACUACAGCUUCUUCAAUGAAAGGCUCAAUGGAGAUAUCCCAGUUGAUGAGGACCAGAGGAACACCAGGUUAGUUGAUAUGAACUGAGAAAUCCUCCCAACAAGUCAUGAUACUUGGUACUUCAAAACGCUCUUUCCUAUAUUUCCUUAAUGUUACCCAUUAG